rnacentral:rRNA from 1 species
ACGGAAGGCAGCAGUGGGGAAUAUUGCACAAUGGGGGAAACCCUGAUGCAGCGACGCCGCGUGAGUGAAGAAGUAUUUCGGUAUGUAAAGCUCUAUCAGCAGGGAAGAAAAUGACGGUACCUGACUAAGAAGCCCCGGCUAACUACGUGCCAGCAGCCGCGGUAAUACGUAGGGGGCAAGCGUUAUCCGGAUUUACUGGGUGUAAAGGGAGCGUAGACGGCAAAGCAAGUCUGAUGUGAAAUGUUGGGGCUCAACCCCGAAACUGCAUUGGAAACUGUUUAGCUAGAGUGCAGGAGAGGUAAGUGGAAUUCCUAGUGUAGCGGUGAAAUGCGUAGAUAUUAGGAGGAACACCGGUGGCGAAGGCGGCUUACUGGACUGUAACUGACGUUGAGGCUCGAAAGCGUGGGGAGCAAACAGGAUUAGAUACCCUGGUA